UGGAGUCAGUAUUAACCUUCCAUUGUGAAGGGUGACCUUCAUGGUCAAGCACAAGCAAGACCCUGGGGUCUUUGCUGGGGUGCCUGAAUCAUUUUACAAGGGUGAUGAGGAUUCAGGCUUGCUGUGAAUCUCUUCAUUCAAGCCAAGUUCUAGUGUAAAGUUUUGUUACUUCCAAGAAGGGACACAGAAACAAUUCUCGUUGCUUAAUUAUUUUCUGGAAUGAUAAGGCACUCACUGACAGAUCGAAGAAAUGAUUCCAUCCGAGUCUAUCCUGGUGAAGCAAGGUACUAUCCUAUAAUCAACAUCAAGAAAGGAUCUGGGCUAUGAUUGUGACAUUGUAGAAAGGCCUCGGUU